AUCGCUUCUCAGCCUUUUGGCUAUGAUCAAGUGUAGUUAUCUGUUUUCACCAGGUUAAUAUCUGAUACGUCCUCUAUCUGAGGACAAUAUAUUAAAUGGAAUUUUGGAAUAAGGAGAUGGAAUAGGGGCUUGUUCCAUUCACUCCACGCAUCGACCUGGUACUGCAGUACUUCCAGGAACAGGACACCAAAA